CAGCACCUCAAGUGGUCAGGAUGAUUAUUGGGCCUAAAGCAUCCGUAGCCGGCUCUGUAAGUUUUCGGUUAAAUCUGUACGCUCAACGUACAGGCUGCCGGGAAUACUGCAGAGCUAGGGAGUGGGAGAGGUAGACGGUACUCGGUAGGAAGGGGUAAAAUCCUUUGAUCUAUUGAUGACCACCUGUGGCGAAGGCGGUCUACCAGAACACGUCCGACGGUGAGGGAUGAAAGCUGGGGGAGCAAACCGGAUUAGAUACCCGAGUAGUC
rnacentral:rRNA from 1 species